rnacentral:rRNA from 1 species
ACUCAAAUGAAUUGACGGGGGCCCGCACAAGCGGUGGAGCAUGUGGUUUAAUUCGACGCUACGCGAAGAACCUUACCUGGGCUCGAACGACUGGUGGUACUCUUCCUGAAAGGGGAGGGGACCCGCAAGGGAGCCAGCCGAGGUGCUGCAUGGUUGUCGUCAGCUCGUGUCGUGAGAUGUUGGGUUAAGUCCCGCAACGAGCGCAACCCCUAUCCCGUGUUGCUGCCCGAAAGGGAGGACUCUCGGGAGACUGCCGCGGACAACGUGGAGGAAGGCGGGGUCGACGUCAAAUCAUCAUGGCCUUUAUGUCCAGGGCCACACACGUGCUACAAUGGCGUAUACAACGGGACGCAAGACCGCAAGGUGGAGCAAAUCCCUAAAGUACGCCUCAGUUCAGAUCGUGGGCUGCAAUUCGCCCACGUGAAGGCGGAAUCGCUAGUAAUCGCAGAUCAGCAGGCUGCGGUGAAUACGUUCCCGGGCCUUGCACACACCGCCCGU